CACGGACCAAGGAGUUUAUCGUGUGCGCAAGUCAUUGGGUGUUGAAAACUCAAAGGCGCAAUGAAAGUAAAGAAUCCGCAAGGAUACGACGUGUGAUCUGAGCAAUCACGAUUGCCUGGAGCAACAUGGCCCCAUUCUGGUCGCUUGCGACGGGGUGGAGGAAGAGCGUACGCGGUGAGACCCGAAAGAUGGUGAACUAUUCCUGAGCAGGAUGAAGCCAGAGGAAACUCUGGUGGAAGUCCGAAGCGAUUCUGACGUGCAAAUCGAUCGUCUGACUUGGGUAUAGGGGCGAAAGACUAAUCGAACCAUCUAGUAGCUGGUUCCUUCCGA
rnacentral:rRNA from 1 species